UGGGUUGUGGCUCAGCAGUAGAGCGCUUGCCUCACAUGUGAGACACUGGGUUCAAUCCUCAGCACCACAU
rnacentral:tRNA from 1 species